CCAAUAGCGUAUAUUAAAGUUGUUGCAGUUAAAAAGCUCGUAGUUGAAUUUCGGGACCAGUAUGUUGGUCGUGCUUCGGUACGUACUGUCAUUACUGGUUUCUACCUUCUGAAGAACCUUGAUGUCAUUAAUUUGGUGUCUUGGGGAAUCAGGACUGUUACUUUGAAAAAAUUAGAGUGUUUAAAGCAAGCAUACGCUUGAAUACAUUAGCAUGGAAUAAUGAAAUAGGACGUUUGAUUCUAUUUUGUUGGUUUCUAGGAUCGACGUAAUGAUUAAUAGGGAUAGUUGGGGGCAUUAGUAUUCAAUUGUCAGAGGUGAAAUUCUUGGAUUUAUUGAAGACUAAUUACUGCGAAAGCAUUUGCCAAGGAUGUUUUCAUUAAUCAAGAACGAAAGUUAGGGGAUCGAAGACAAUCAGAUACCGUCGUAGUCUUAACCAUAAACUAUGCCAACUAGGGAUCGGAUGAUGUUAUUUUUAAUGACUCAUUCGGCGCCUUACG
rnacentral:rRNA from 1 species